rnacentral:rRNA from 1 species
UGGGGAAUUUUGGACAAUGGGCGCAAGCCUGAUCCAGCCAUGCCGCGUGCGGGAAGAAGGCCUUCGGGUUGUAAACCGCUUUUGUCAGGGAAGAAAUCUUCUGAGUUAAUACCUCGGGAGGAUGACGGUACCUGAAGAAUAAGCACCGGCUAACUACGUGCCAGCAGCCGCGGUAAUACGUAGGGUGCAAGCGUUAAUCGGAAUUACUGGGCGUAAAGCGUGCGCAGGCGGUUUUGUAAGACAGAGGUGAAAUCCCCGGGCUCAACCUGGGAACUGCUUUGUGACUGCAAGGCUUGAGUGCGGCAGAGGGGGAUGGAAUUCCGCGUGUAGCAGUGAAAUGCGUAGAUAUGCGGAGGAACACCGAUGGCGAAGGCAAUCCCCUGGGCCUGCACUGACGCUCAUGCACGAAAGCGUGGGGAGCAAACAGGAUUAGAUACCCUGGUAGUCCACGCCCUAAACGAUGUCAACUGGUUGUUGGGAAGGUUCCUUCUCAGUAACGUAGCUAACGCGUGAAGUUGACCGCCUGGGGAGUACGGCCGC